UUYUYUYUGACMCCUAAUAGGGAGUUAGACCUGCCCMGKGGAGAAAUYUAAACGGCCGCGGAAUUUUAACCSUGCUAAGGUAGCAUAAUCAUUUGUCCUUUAAUUAAGGACUUGUAUGAAUGGUUAAACGAAAUAAAGCUAUCUAUAGGAUAUUAAAUAAAAAUUAUUUUUAAAGUGAAAAAUCUUUAAUACAAUAAAAAGACAAAAAGACCCUAUAGAGUUUUAUUCAUCACUAUAAAUAAAUAUAAAUGAAUUUAGUUGGGGCAACUAAUGAAAAAAGAAAUUUCUUUUUAUUAGCUAAAAAUAUAAUCAUUAAUUUAAUAAUAUAAAAUAAAUUACCUUAGGGAUAACAGCGUAACUUUUUUUGAGAGUCCAAAUCGAAAAAAAAAAUUACRACCUCGAUGUUGGAUUAGAGUAACCUAAAAUARAAAAAGAUUUUUAKGGGCASCCKGUUCRACKGAUAWUUCUCUACAU
rnacentral:rRNA from 1 species